GCACGGCACCGCACCCGGGGCCAACUACAGCUCCCAGCAUGCACCGCGCGGAGCCACGCCCACGCACCCGGUCAUGUCCCCCGGAGCAUGCUGGGAGUAGUAGGCUUAACGGGGCUCCGGCUGCCCCAAUGCGCGCUGGGAAUUGUAGUCCGUAGCGUGGCGCUUAGCGGGGCAGCCCCGGGAGCGGCUCUCCGGGGCUCUCCCGGGCCCGGGAUUCGGGGAUGCCGCUCUCCGCCUCAGCUGCGUCGGGCUCUGCUCUGGGGCGGAGCCGUCCCACCUGCGCGGGCCUGCCCGGCCCCGGCGAGCCGCUGCCUGCCUGCCCGCCGGGGCCCGCCGCGGAACUCAGGCUUUGAGGCGCUUUUAUGGUUUAUUUUCUGCUUCUGUAAAUAAAAUCCCCAGCAGACACCGGCCAGCAGACGGGCGUGGCCAGGGCGUACGCGUCCCGCUUUUCGUUUCCAGGCAGCGCCUCGGGAUUCGCGAUGUGAAUCAUGCGGCUGUUUGACAUGUAAACAGCAGUAAAAGCCGCUGUCUUUCUAAACACUGAGAGCUUAAAUGUCGCCGAACCUGAUGGGCCAGCGCACCGGGAUCCCCCACAGGGUCCGCCUUUUGGAGGAUCCUUGCACCGGGAGCAGCUUCCAUGGGAAACCCCCGCGGGUGUGCCCCGGGAUGGGCGGAGAGGGAUUCACCUGCCCUGCGCCUCGGCCGUGCCCCGGCAAGCCCCGAUUCCGCGAUGUGUUGUAAUUUUAGAGUUUGCUAAUGAGCUUGCCUGUGCGCCCUGCACACCCUGUGUGCUGGGGAGUGCCAGUCCAGGCUGGUAAUCCUGCUAACCUGGCCCUGGCAGGCGGGGACGGCUCCUUUCAGUGUUCUGGGACUCAGAUCUGGCUUCUUGCUAUGCACAGGGAUGGCCGUGGAUUAGUAAAAUGAGGGAGAAAAUUAUCCUUGCUAAUAAUUCUUUUCCAUUCUGCCUUGGUGGUGGCUGUCUGCCUGCUUCCUUCCCUCUGCUAACUCAGGUGUCAGCUGCGGGAUCCAAGGUUUGCGAGGAGAGCAGUGGUAAAACUUUUAACUUCCAGUAAGUGGCACCUCUCUGAUAGUUAUUUAAAGCCUCUGUCUGCAUUGUUCCAGAACUAUUUCCUUUUUCCUCUAAGCAACCUAGAGUAGGAAGCUGACAAUCCCUCAGGUAGCCCGGUUCCACCUCGCUGAAGCCUCGCCUGAUGCUGGGUUGGAGGCCAGCAGAACCCUCAGAGGGUGAGAGCAGGGCUCCUCCUUCCUGCCUUUUGUGGAGCUGGCCAAAGACAACACUCCUGGGCAGCACAGAAACGGGCCCUUUUUGUCCUUACUCAUAUAUUCCACUUUCAGGUCAGAGGAUUGCUGUUGAUGAGGCUGUAAAAUGGAUGUGCUUGCUGGGGACAUCCUUCUCUACUCUUUGAAGUGCUCAGAAGCAUUCCCACUGAUUUCAGUGGGAAAAGCUCCUUUGUCUGAUGUGCUUUUCCAUGUGCCAAUCAGUAUUUUGUGCUGACUGGAAGGGAAAGAACAAGGCACUGCUUUAUGAUGGAUGUUUUUAGACCAGGAUAUUUUAAACGGUACAUGCAAUUUGCAGAUCAGUAAUUUGUAGUUGUUUGUCAGUUUGUUUCAGCAUCUUAGAUAUGGCUAUGGCUAAAAAUGAACAUAAAUGACCCAGUUGUGACUGGAAAUUUUGCACUGUGAAAACAGGAGUUAUUCCUGUGGUAGCAAAUAUGGCUGCAGAGCAACACAAAUGAGCUGAAAGCAAGAUGUUGAAAUCAAAUUGUAGGCCAGGUUUUUUCCAGUGUCCUUCACAGUGCCAAUGGCCACCUGGAGUCCAGCAUUAUGUGAACACUUGCCUUUGGAGCCCAUCUCGGUCAUGCAGGGAAUCACUUUCCAAAAGCAGUUUUCCUGCCAACAGCUUUUGUUUGCUUGGUGAUAAGAAACAAUGGUCAACUCAGUUUGUUACUUGAGCAUUUUAGUGACUGAGGAGUCUGGCAUCCUGUACUAGAUCCAUUUUCUUAGCUACUCAAAUGCCAGCUUGGCAGCCUAUCUAGGAAGCUGAUAGCACUGGGACAGGCGUGAUUGUGGAGGUUGUUUUCAACAGUUUCUAGUAAGUCUGUUUUUAAGACACCUCCUUCCUUUUUUUACUUUCCUGGGGAAAAAAAUCAUAGUUACCACCUUCAUGACUGAGAGAUCUGGAUGAGAGAGAGGAGGAAGACAUGGACAUGCAGCUUAAUAUCCUACUUUCAAAGUGCCUUAAAAACAGGACUGGGUUUUGUUUUGAGUAAGGCUGGUAUUAAUUCAUUAGAACGCUGUUGGCUAUAGUUAAGAGGAGGGAAAAGCAUUUAAUAGAGGACCUAAUUCCCCUUGUCUUUUUGGCAGAGAAACAACAAGAAAAAAAGUAAAUUUUCCAGUUUUGGAUGAGGGAUCCAAUCUCUUCUGAUAAAGAAACAAUAGUUAUACCCCCUUGUUUGAUCUUUUUGGCCUCUGGGGUCGACAUGUGCUCAAAUACCCAUUCAUUUCUCUCACAGGCCUUUCCAGUUGCCAGGAAUAUCUAGGAAGCUGUUUGCCAAAACCCUUCCAUCUGGGAAAAGCACCAUGCACUUGCAAUGGGGCUGUGCUGAGUCAGUGCAUUAUCUGGGUGUCAUUCCACAGGACUGAAGCAGUCAGAACAAGACUGUCCUUGUGCCCAGGUCUCAAGUUGUGUCCCCAUGGCAUGAAGCUUCCCAGAGUCCUGAGACUCAACCUCGGGAUGAAACUCAGUGUUAUUUGAGAAAGUAUAAGUGUGGUAUCCAUGGAGAAGGCAACUCGCUCUAGGUUGCACAUCCUUAUUUUACUGAUGUCACAAACAAGUUAUUCUUGUGCACUGCAGAGAGCCUCACAACCACAAAACCAGCAAUAAUUUUAUAAAUGAUAAGCUUGUUUUCCUCCUCCUGUUCCCAGAUACUCCGAGUGCAGCAGACAGCAGAGAUGUGCAUUGCUGGAAUCCAGAGGGUUUCGUAAUUUGGCAGCCGCUUGCUGAAAGCCCUGCAGAUACAAAACAACACUUAUUUCAAGUCUUGAGAAACAUCUCCUACUAAGUAGAAGAAAAAAGCAUUUAGUGGGAUCCUCAAGCUGUAUGCAAAAGGCAAGGAGACGUGCCUGGAAAUGCAUUAUCCAAGGGACACAGAAACAGCUUUUUGACAGGCUGCUCUUCCUGCUAACACCUGGAAGAAGCAAUUUGUGUAAGAACUUCAGUGUGGAAUUGACUUUAGGCUUUGUUCUUAUUUGUCACCCUUCAGGAAAUACAUCUCUGGCUCCAGCACUCAAUCCCUGCUGGCACUCUGAAGAGGAAGAGAAAAUAGCAGAGCUAAAGCCAUUAAAACAAACAGGCAAAUAUUUUAUUCAAACUCAACUUCUUCUUCCUAGGUCACUGUUAAAGAAUAUUUUUCAGAUUGUGAGGAUGCGAAGGAGGGUUGUGUUUGUUUGUUUGUUUGUUUUCCUGGAGACUCUCCUAUUCACAUUUCAGGCAGCAGAGCUUGCAGCAGUGACAAGCUGUAAUCCCAAGGAAAAGUGCUUGUGCCUGUGGCCUGGGUUAACCUGCUGGCAGUGAUACGUGCCUGGGCAGGGGCAGCCGUUUCACACAGCUCAGCAUGGACGUGCUGCCACUCCCAGCCACUUUUAGGACACAGGUGAGUUGUUUACAGCAAUCUCAAAAAACCUUGUAAUAAAGCUGUUCUGCCUUCCUGGAGCCACCACUCCCAGAGACCUUUCCCCUUUCUUGGCUACUGUGGGAGCCUCCUUCCUUCGGCUGCACACCUUUAUCAGCUAAAAAUGAUGCAGUUCAGAACUGGUUGUGGUCAGGCUCUGUCCCAGAAGGAGGGGCUACACUGCCACUCUGUUGUGGCUGCUGAGAGCGGGAAGAUCAGAGAGGACAACGGGGAAGUGGAAGCCUUCUCCCUCUUUUAUGUGGAAUGGAGUCAGGAUAUGCCCUUGUAUGAAGUUCAGCAGAGAAAAACUCGGGCUGCACUCGCAUUCCUACCCACCGUGCCAUUCCAGUCAGCCUGGUACUAAUCUCCACGGAUCUCUGAAGGCAUGAAACAACAUGCAGAGCAAAUGAAACCUGAGCCACACCACAGUACUGGUGCCAGCCAGUUUUAGAAGACUGCCAUGAGAGCCAAGGGAAACAGGUAAAAUGGUAGAAGAUGCCUUGUACCACCUGCAGGCACAGACCUACAGCACUCGAGCAGCUCGUGAGGCAAGUGAAAAGCUGGUGAACCCAGGGCCACUUAGACUUGAAUGCUCUUUCCUGGGGAGGAAGUGGCUUUUCCCUUGGAAAGCUCAACUCCCCAGGGUCUGUAUGAGGUCAAUGGAAAAAGUGAUUUCUUCAGAAUAUGAUUCAGAGUGCCUAAGCAUAGGGCUUAUCUUAUUGACUACAAAGGAAGCUCAGCCUCUGUAGAUUUAAACUCACUUUUGAGAAUACUCAUCCCCUCUUGCCCCUUAGCUGUGGGAAUUAUACUGGACCUGGAUGUUGUUAGUCCUGGGAAGCCACACUACCUACUGAAAUUCAGGUGCUGCAGACCAAAGCUAAAAGAAGUUUGUCUACCAAAGCAUAGCUUUGUCCUUUUGAGUUAUCCUGGGAUUUCAGAAAUGGAUUUGCAAGUACCAGAAAAGAAAAUUAAAUCAAGAAAGGUUGGUUUCUUCAUGGUUGUCCUGACUGGAACUGGAAUAUUCAGCAUCUGUUUCAUUUUAACUGGGUUUUCAUUCUGGCCUUUCUCCCCUUUCAAAGUACAGGCAACUGAAGCCUUUAAUUUGCCCUGUCUUUCACUGAAGAGAAAAACAAGAGUUUCUAACAGCUGUUACUCUCCUGUCUAGAAUAGCUACACUAGAAAAAUACAGUUUAUUGUCUGUGAAUGAAAAAGCUCUUGCUUGUUUCUGUUGUUUGUUGUGUUGACUUUGAAAGAUAAAUUGUUUGAACUGG